rnacentral:rRNA from 1 species
GAUGAACGCUGGCGGCGUGCCUAAUACAUGCAAGUCGAGCGAACGGACGAGAAGCUUGCUUCUCUGAUGUUAGCGGCGGACGGGUGAGUAACACGUGGAUAACCUACCUAUAAGACUGGGAUAACUUCGGGAAACCGGAGCUAAUACCGGAUAAUAUUUUGAACCGCAUGGUUCAAAAGUAAAAGACGGUCUUGCUGUCACUUAUAGAUGGAUCCGCGCUGCAUUAGCUAGUUGGUAAGGUAACGGCUUACCAAGGCAACGAUGCAUAGCCGACCUGAGAGGGUGAUCGGCCACACUGGAACUGAGACACGGUCCAGACUCCUACGGGAGGCAGCAGUAGGGAAUCUUCCGCAAUGGGCGAAAGCCUGACGGAGCAACGCCGCGUGAGUGAUGAAGGUCUUCGGAUCGUAAAACUCUGUUAUUAGGGAAGAACAUAUGUGUAAGUAACUGUGCACAUCUUGACGGUACCUAAUCAGAAAGCCACGGCUAACUAC